AGAUUUCCAACAAGAUAUUAAUCCAGCCAUGAAGACUACAUGUUUAGAAGGAAAAAAAAAAAGAAAAACCGAGUUACAAUAGAUACAACCUAUUUAAUCUAAAAACUACAACUAGUAAGAAAUCUCCUAACUAAUUUUCUUUUCCACAAGAAAAAAAAGAAGUUCUCUCUCAAAGCCGCCGCUUCUCGUGUUGAAACCCUAAUCUGGUGGCCGCCGCCUCAUGCGGUCACCGAAUCUAGUUUCCAACGUUUUCCUGUCUUGUCUCCGUUCAUAUCCCUCUUCCUCCUCCGCGAGUUGUCUCUUCUACCGGUGUACUGCAGAGCAGUGUGAAGAACCUAUGUUUUCUUAGAUCCAUUGAAACUUUGGUAGAUCUUUGCGCGUGGAAGGGUGUUUGUGGGUGGUGUAUAGGUUUGCACCUUCCUCUGGUCUCCGUUUGCGACUCUGAUCGAGACAGUUUGAAAGGAGUUGAAUCCAGUUAUCUUCUCUGGGAGUUUUAGAGUGUGGCUUAUUUGGUCCUUGAUUUAGCAACGGGUUAGCAUUAACGUGGUGGUGUGUGAUGAGCAGGUGAAGAUUCUGUCUUUGUGAUGAAGUUGGUUGCAGGUUUCCUUUUCAUCUCUCGGUUCCUGGUAUGUUUUUUGCUCUCUGUUUGCCCUCGGUGGCUUCAUUUGGUGAAGCAAUAUAAGGAGGCUGAGAUGCGAAAGCUUUCAGAUGAUGGUGCGUUUGAGUGAGACCUUCCUUCUAUGAUGUUUCUUCAUGGUUUCUGCCUUGGUACAGGGGUAGUGGUUCAUUGGUUUUAUCGUGAAACAGGAGGUUCAGAUGAGAUCGUUGUGGUUUGGUGUUGUCAUCGUGAACUUGUGGUUCAGAUGAGGACUUGGCUCUUCACGAAGAAGUCUUCUACGUUAUGUGCUCUCUUGCUUAGUUCAUUGCAAGUUUUCCGGCUAGUCAUUGUCUUUUUAAGUUUUACUCUUGUAUUUUUGGAGGUUUGGUUCUGGGUUCGUGUAAGGAAUGUUAAGAUUUGUUCGACAGUUCUUUGUUGAUAUGUAGCCCGUGUGUUUUGGGUUCUUGGUCCCCUUAGUGGGUUUAGUUUCCGGGGAAGUGUAUGUGUUCCGCCGGCUCUAGUGUUUCAAGCUUGUUCCUUUAAUGUUAUCAAUGAAAAUUCAGAUGGAGAAAAAAAAAGUAAGAAAUUCCCUAUAAAUUA